UUACUCGGGUCUACCAAUCAUGUUACUUGUCCCAUCCCGACUGGUUGAAGGUGGACCUUACGCUUGAGCCUCAUCCUACAGCUUUACCAUUGGCUGUCGGCAACCGCUUUGUCAGUUGAUUGGAGAGAGUGAAUGUCCAUUAGGGUCACGCUCCGAGGCCAGGAGAGGAGAAAGGAGGGAAAGACGACUUCCCUCCGGAGGGUAGAUGGGCCUGCUGGGAUAGUGAGGGAUGACUGGGAAAGGCGCUGGGCGGGGUUUCGCCGUUCCGCGGAACGCCGGGAAGGAGUUACUUCCAGGUGACGGUUCCGGUUCCGGUGUCGGCAGUAGUUGAGUUGCCAUGGAAACGCGGUCGAUGGGCGCCGGGUUCCUGCGUUAGGGGCGAUAGCGGUGCCGGAGCAGGCGUGGGCCGUCUUUCUCAGCUUAGUGCCUAGAACAGUGCUUGGAACGUGGCAAAUGCUCGUAUUGGUGGAACGAGUGACUUCGAAAGAGCAGGACUCGGUGAAAUCGCUACACGAUCUGUAGUCUUGGAGCCGCACGGGGUUGAUGGUACCCUAGAGCAGACCAGACUUGCAGAAAAAGUGUACCCCAGAGGAAGCUGAGGCAUGACUGCUCAAGAGCCAGCCAUGUGCAAUUUUCCUCUGACAGUUCCUGGGUACUGUUGCCACGGUGAUAAUGACUGUCCCAUGUCAUUAUCUAUCGACCGACAGUAAGAAAAGCUUUGCAGUCAAGAUAUUGUUUGACAGAUGGAGUGGUUUCUGUCGAACACUAAGUACUGCUACAAACUACCGUUUAAAAAGCCUUAAGUGUUUUUUUAAAAUUGUUGCUGGAGGUGAACUGUUGAUGCUUUAGAGGUGUUCAAGUUUGUUGAAAUCAGAAAAUUAGUGCAUGUGCUGCCAGCGUGGGAAUCUUCCAUUCCACAUAAUCCUUCAGCGUGAAACUUGAGCCGAGUAAACUGAAAAUAAACCAAAGACAUUAGUCAGAA